UACGUAGGUGGCAAGCGUUAUUCGGAAUUACUGGGCGUAAAGCGCGCGUAGGCGGUUUUUUAAGUCUGAUGUGAAAGCCCUCGGCUCAACCGGGGAGGGUCAUUGGAAACUGGGGAACUUGAGUGGAGAAGAGGAGAGUGGAAUUCCAUGUGUAGCGGUGAAAUGCGCAGAGAUAUGGAGGAACACCAGUGGCGAAGGCGGCUCUCUGGUCUGUAACUGACGCUGAUGUGCGAAAGCGUGGGGAUCAAACAGG
rnacentral:rRNA from 1 species